rnacentral:rRNA from 1 species
UACGGGGGGGGCAAGCGUUGUUCGGAAUUACUGGGCGUAAAGGGCUCGUAGGCGGCCAACUAAGUCAGACGUGAAAUCCCUCGGCUUAACCGGGGAACUGCGUCUGAUACUGGUUGGCUUGAAUCCGGGAGAGGGAUGUGGAAUUCCAGGUGUAGCGGUGAAAUGCGUAGAUAUCUGGAGGAACACCGGUGGCGAAGGCGGCAUCCUGGACCGGUAUGGACGCUGAGACGCGAAAGCGUGGGGAGCAAACAGG